AGUCCUGCUCCUUCCCGGUUACGUCCCUUCCAGCCCUUGGCGGAGUCUGCGGGCGAGAGGGCGCAGGUGCAGAGGUGCCGCCGGCGGCGUGCGGCUGCGAAGGAAGGGACCCCGACACCGAGCGUUCCUGCGGACGCUCCUCAACCGGGGGUUGUUCUCCGUGCUCUGGACCCGGCCCUUCCUCACCUAGGACGUCUCGCGGUGCACUGUCCCCCUCUCUCGGGCGACUUUUCCCCCACCUCCAAGUAGUGAUCAAGCUCAGAAUCCAGCUCGCGCCCGCUGUGCACCUAGCACUUCCCACCUGUAGUCUUUUGACCUCAUCGCCCCCUCUAGAAGGCUGCUGCCAUCGCUUAAAUGAGGAAGCCGAGGUGCAGAGAGGUUUCAGACCUAUUGCGGUGGAGCUGGAGUUCGAGAACCAACCACUCGGUGCUGAGACGCGCUUGCGGAACGGGCGGCGGGCGGGGGUGAAGCGGAGUGAGGGGAGAGGCCAGGUGCGACCCGGGCAGGAUUGAGGCCAUCAAGCUACAGAUGGACUUACAAAUGGAACCCCAAAUGAGUUCAACUCAAAACUUCUACCGAGGACCCCUGGAUUGACCCACUGGCUCUUUGGCUGGCCUAGAGAGUUCCCUUCUGAGGACACUACCACUGGAGGGCCCCGUCUUCACCCCUAUCCAGCAGGAAGUAGCUAGAGUGGUCAUUGGCCAAUUCCCAACAGCAGUGGGGUGUCCCGUUUAAAGGGGGGAUUGAGAGGUGAAGCCAGCUUGACUUCCUGGUUUGAGUGGGGACUUGGAGAACUUUUCUGUUUUACAAGAGGUUUGUAAAAUGCACCAAUCAGUGCUUUGUAAAAAUGCACCAAUCAGCACUCUGUAGCUAGCUAGAGAUUUGUAAAAUAGACCAAUUAGCACUCUGUAAAAUGGACCAAUCAGCACUCUGUAAAAUGGACCAAUCAGCAGGACAUGGGCAGGCACAAACAAGGGAAAAAAAGCUGGCCACCCCAGCCAGCAGUGGCAACCUAUGGGCUAAUGGCAGCAUACUCCAGGCAGCCUAGUCCUGUCCUCUUUGCUUCUUCUGCUUGGUUCCAUAUAAUUCAGCAUUUUUUUUUUGAGAUGGAGUCUCACUCUGUUGCCCAGGCUGGAGUGCAGUGGUGUGAUCUUGGCUCACUGCAACCUCCACCUCCCAGGCUGAAGCGAUUCUCCUGCCUCAGACUCCCAAGUGGCUGGUACUGCAGGCACAUGCCACCAUGCCUGGCUAAUUUUUGUAAUUUUAGUAGAGAUGGGGUUUCACCAUAUUGGUCAGGCUGGUCUUGAACUCCUGACCUCAGGUGAUCCACCUGCCUCAGCCUCCCAAAGUGUAAUUCAGCACUCUUCAAUUAUACAUAUUGAAAUAUGCAUUCAGAAAAGUACUUAAAUCAUAAAUAUGUACAACUCAAUUUUGAGUAUGUGAACAAGAAAGUAACCACUAUCCACAUAAAAAUGCAGAGCAGAUUAGCACCCAAAGCCUCCUUUGCGCCCACUCCUGGCUAUUACCUUCAAAAUGCUACCUAAUGAGAGGACUCAGAGUGCCAUAUAAAACUAUAAAGGUGACAACUGGAACAGAAAUUAAAAUCUUGCUAAAUAUUGGAAACAACAAUAAAAAGGAUUGAAAGGGAAAGAAAGAGUUAAUAUUGCUAUGGUUUGGAUGUGUGUCCCCUCUGAAUUUCAUGUUGAAAUGUGAUCCCCAAAGUUGGAGGUGGGACCUAGUGGAAGGUGUUUGGGGAUGGAUCCCUCAUGAAUGGCUUGAUGCCUUCCUGGAGGUAAUGAAUGAGUUCUCACUUUGUUACUUCAUAGAGAGCUGGUUGUUUAAAAGAGGCUGGCUCCUCUCUCUUGCUCCCUUUCUUGCCAUGUGACAUGCCUGUUUCCUCUUAGCCUUCUUCCAUGAGUAAAAGCUUCCUGAGGCCUCACCAGAAGCUGAGCAAAUGCCAGCACUAUACUUCCUGUGUAACCUGAAGAACCAUGAGCCAAAUAAACCUCUUUUCUUUGUAAA
rnacentral:lncRNA from 1 species